GACGAACGCUGGCGGCGUGCUUAACACAUGCAAGUCGUACGGUAAGGCCCUUUUGGGGGUACUCGAGUGGCGAACGGGUGAGUAACACGUGAGUAACCUGCCCACGACUUCGGGAUAACGUCAGGAAACUGGGGCUAAUACUGGAUAUGUAUUCCUGCUGCAUGGUGGGGGUUGGAAAGCUUCGGCGGUUUUGGAUGGACUCGCGGCCUAUCAGCUUGUUGGUGGGGUAGUGGCCUACCAAGGCGGUGACGGGUAGCCGGCCUGAGAGGGUGACCGGCCACAUUGGGACUGAGAUACGGCCCAGACUCCUACGGGAGGCAGCAGUGGGGAAUAUUGCACAAUGGGCGCAAGCCUGAUGCAGCAACGCCGCGUGCGGGAUGACGGCCUUCGGGUUGUAAACCGCUUUCAGCAGGGGCGAAGCUUGUUGUGACGGUACCUGCAGAAGAAGCACCGGCUAACUACGUG
rnacentral:rRNA from 1 species